rfam:Gynuella sunshinyii YC6258, complete genome.
UGAGGAUAAAGCAAUUUAUCCCGAUCGCUCAAGAGAAGUCAGCAGAAGGCAUAGUACCGGUGAUUACUCGGCCGAUUAAAUCGGAAGUGCAUGUCUAAGGGAAGGCC